CAGAGGGGGCAAGCGUUAUUCGGAAUUAUUGGGCGUAAAGGGCGCGUAGGCGGCUUUGCAAGUGACGGGUGAAAUCCCUCGGCUUAACCGAGGAACUGCCUGUCAAACUGCAUGGCUUGAGACCGGGAGAGGUGAGUGGAAUUCCCAGUGUAGCGGUGAAAUGCGUAGAUAUUGGGAGGAACACCAGUGGCGAAGGCGGCUCACUGGACCGGUACUGACGCUGAUGCGCGAAAGCGUGGGUAGCAAACAGGAUUAGAUACCCUGGUAGUCCACGCCGUAAACGAUGAGUGCUUGGUGUAGCGGGUAUCGACCCCUGCUGUGCCGAAGUCAACACAUUAAGCACUCCGCCUGGGGAGUACGGUCGCAAGGCUG
rnacentral:rRNA from 1 species